GGAGAGGUGAGUGAGUGGCUGAAACUACCGGUUUGCUAAACCGACGUACCCCUUAAAGGGUACCGGGGGUUCGAAUCCCCCCCUCUCCG
rnacentral:tRNA from 1 species